rnacentral:rRNA from 1 species
UACGUAGGGGCAAGCGUUGUCCGGAAUCAUUGGGCGUAAAGCGCGUGUAGGCGGCUCGAUAAGUCUGCUGUGAAAGUCCAGGCUCAACCCUGGGAUGCCGGUGGAUACUGUCGAGCUCGAGUGCCGGAAGAGGCGAGUGGAAUUCCUGGUGUAGCGGUGAAAUGCGCAGAUAUCAGGAAGAACACCCGUGGCUAAGGCGGUUCUCUAGUACGGUACUGACGCUGAGACGACGAAGCGUGGGGAGCGAACAGG